GUAUUCAUAUUUAUAGCAAUGGACAUAUUUGUUUAGAUACUUUGUAUGAUAGCUGGUCCCCAGCCAUGACUGUCAGUUCUGUCUGUAUCAGCAUUCUCUCCAUGUUAUCAAGUUCAACCGUGAAGCAACGGCCAACUGAUAAUAAUCAAUACAUUAAGAACUGCUGGAAUGGCAGGUCCCCUAAGGAGACAAGAUGGUGGUUCCAUGAUGAUAAAGUGUAACAAUGUAAACCUUUUUUUUCUGUAAUCUGUGUAUAACAAUGAGGUUAUUAUCAAGUGAGUUGAUAAGGGAGGAUGACCUUCCAUAACUGUCAUGGUAACGUUAAAUGCGUUGUUCCUGUGUAUGAAAUUGUCAAUCAAACAAAGAUUUGAUUCGAAUGUUGCUGCCUCCUAGGGGCAGAGUA